rnacentral:rRNA from 1 species
GACGAACGCUGGCGGCGUACCUAACACAUGCAAGUCGAGCGGAGUUGACAAGAGGAAGUUUUCGGAUGGAAUCUUGCCAGCCUAGCGGCGGACGGGUGAGUAACGCGUGAGCGACCAACCUUGCACAGGGGGAUAACGGACCGAAAGGUUCACUAAUACCGCAUGAGACCACGGUGUUGCAUGACACAGGGGUCAAAGGAGGAAUCCGGUGCAAGACGGGCUCGCGUCCGAUUAGGUAGGUGGAGGGGUAACGGCCCACCAAGCCUAUGAUCGGUAGCCGACCUGAGAGGGUGAUCGGCCACAUUGGAACUGAGAUACGGUCCAAACUCCUACGGGAGGCAGCAGUGGGGAAUAUUGGGCAAUGGGGGAAACCCUGACCCAGCAACGCCGCGUGAAGGAAGAAGGUUUUCGGAUUGUAAACUUCUGUCCUUGGUGAAGAGAAGAAGACGGUAGCCAAGGAGGAAGCCCCGGCUAACUACGUGCCAGCAGCCGCCGCAGUAA